ACUCCUGCGGGAGGCAGCAGUGGGGAAUUUUGGACAAUGGGGGCAACCCUGAUCCAGCAAUGCCGCGUGAGUGAAGAAGGCCUUCGGGUUGUAAAGCUCUUUUGUCAGGGAAGAAACGGUGGUGGCGAAUAACUACUACUAAUGACGGUACCUGAAGAAUAAGCACCGGCUAACUACGUGCCAGCAGCCGCGGUAAUACGUAGGGUGCAAGCGUUAAUCGGAAUUACUGGGCGUAAAGCGUGCGCAGGCGGUUGUGUAAGUCAGAUGUGAAAUCCCCGGGCUCAACCUGGGAAUUGCAUUUGAGACUACACGGCUAGAGUGUGUCAGAGGGGGGUAGAAUUCCACGUGUAGCAGUGAAAUGCGUAGAUAUGUGGAGGAAUACCGAUGGCGAAGGCAGCCCCCUGGGAUAACACUGACGCUCAUGCACGAAAGCGUGGGGAGCAAACAGGAUUAGAUACCCUAGUAGUCCCA
rnacentral:rRNA from 1 species